UACGUAGCAGCUCCGUGCCAAAGUUAUAAAAGCAACGAGCGUCUCGGCCACGCCCUGUGGCGAGUGGGAGUUGGAUUUGCAAGCGAGCAUAGGAGGUCAGCGGUAGUUCAGCAUUAGCAUAUAGCAUUAGCAUAUCCUAGUCUUAGCAUAUCUUUUAGUGUUAUAAAUACUUAUUUAGUGUUAGAUUUGGCUGUUGGAUAUUGUAGUUGAGUUAGUGUUUGGCUGUUAGUGUAAUUGGGAAAGUAUUUCUGGUUUAGUGUUCCAUAUCGUCUUAGUAUUGGUGAGUAGGUGUAGUGUAGUAUGCUUGCGGUGACUCUGUGGGCAUUUUACCCGCGAUUCUGCGCGCCUCCGUUUGAAGAGGGAGGCUGCCCACCGUGGCUCUUCCGCGAUUUAGAUGCAGCCCACCGACUCUGCUCCCCCACCACGGCGGGCUCCAGUCUGAGGUGAGUCAGCUAAAUAAACGUUUUAACAUCUUCUAAAGACAAUUCCCUACCUAAAUGCAAAGUCUGAGAGACGUGGUUCACUUCCUUUAGCUAGUCAGUCGGCAAUUCUGCAACAGUGUCUCUAACUAACGCUGCACUAGUUGACAGACAGCAUUACAGCGUGAAAUCCAGCUUGUGAACAGGUUCUGUAAGGAAUUCUGUUCAGGAGGUCGCAUUUCAGGCUCUCCACAUCAUAUGUGAUGGACUUUUACGUUAUAACAACGAUCACACACUAGGAAUGUUAUAAAGCGCCUAUAUAGGAGAUUCUUUUAUAUAUUAUCUGACUUUAUAAACUCCAACAACAAUGUGCUUCUAUUUUUUUUUUCAGGCUAAAUCUACCCAAGACACUGGCUGUCAGACUGAUUUAGCUGCAUGAAUGUACUUGUCCAGGCUGAUGUGAAACCUUCCCUGUAGCAAAGCCAUCCAGUUUAGAGCUCACAGCCGCAGUGUGUCUGGUGACCCACAGGGACCAUGAUGAAAAUUCAUCUUCCAGAAGGUCCCAGAGCGUCCAGACCCCCUGAAAAGACCAAGAUGUGAGGUGUCUGCUGUUGAUUCCAGCUUCCACCUCAGUGACAGUGCAAGCUCAGUGAACUGUUCAAGCCUGGCUGAUCACCUGAUAACCCCUGUCAUCUGGUUAUGACAGCAUGAGGAUGUCCUCACACACCUGUAACCUAUCAGCUCAUCCUGCUGAAUAGAGAGAGAAGAGACCACACCACAUCUCCUGUUCCUGGAAAGCCUUCAGCCAUCCUUCGAUGACUGAGAACCUCCAUCAGCUCUGUCUCCUGUC